UGUUGCAAAUGAGUCUAUAAGAACAGGAGGAUUAGAGCUGAUGGGACACGGCGAAGGUGGUAAGUGCUGGUCUAUCUCUGGUGACACUACCUGAUGCUCGUGGCCUCCCUCAUGCUGACUGAAGGUUCUCAAUCAGUGGCAGACCCUGCUCCAGCCCAGAUCCAGGCCCCAGCAAGCCCAGUGACAGUCCCCAGGCAGACCCCAGGGGGUAGAUGUCUGAUAAAGGGGUAGGGGGGAUGUCUGGUGAAGGCGUUCAGU